rfam:Felis catus breed Abyssinian Contig109734.1, whole genome shotgun sequence. [26-MAY-2016]
GCCUGGGUGGCUCAGUCGGUUGAGUGUCCGACUUCAGCUCAGGUCAUGAUCUCGCGGUCCGUGAGUUCAAGCCCCACAUCAGGCU